AAGUCGUAACAAGGUUUCCGUAGGUGAACCUGCGGAAGGAUCAUUAAAAAAUCGCAUGCUAGGCCUCUGGGUCUAGUUUUGAGCCGCAAGGCUCUUAAAUUUUGUGCACCAGUCCGUGGGGCUUAUUAUGUGGGGGCCAGAUGGCAAGAUGGGUGCGUAAUGUAUAUGCGCACGUGUCUCGCCUUGCCCCUAUGUUGUUGCCCUGUGGUUUUCUAAAACAGUUUACCCUGAUUUUAUGUAUAGUAUUUGUUAAAUAUUUUACAACUUUCAACAGUGGAUCUCUCGGCUCUU
rnacentral:misc_RNA from 1 species